UCUUGCCUAAAAGUCGUAGUUCUAAGGGAACACUACCACACAUCUCUCUCUUUCAUGUUUAUCUCCCUCUCUUCAAACACUCUUACGAUUUCAUUCUCUUUCUUGUUACAAAAAAGAAACAAAACAAAAUCCAAAAGUUCUUCAUACUUGAAGAACUUACAAAAAAAAUACAAACAACAAGAUAAUUUGAAAACGUAAUGCAAAAAGGUAAUUUCUCAUCAUGUAAGGUGGGACGUUGGUUUAGUGGUGGAUUUUGCAGCACUUUGAAGGUGUUGAAAGCUAAAACCAGGUGCAGGUGCAGUUGUACGCUAGAGCUUACGAGUCGACGCUAAAGUUAUCCGUACGUGGAGCUUUCAUCCGGAUUUUGUAGGACCUCAUGCUUUCGAGGAUGCUUACUAUUUUAUUCUAGAAUUCGAUGUAGGCAUUAGCUAGUGGAGUAUGUUCCACUAGUGUUUCUUUCCCAGUUAUUUCAGAUAUUGUAUUGGUGUCAUUUUGGCAACUCUAUAUUUUACGCAGAUAUUGACUAUUUCUUUAAUUUGAUUAUCUUGGUAUUA